UACAGAGGAGGCAAGCGUUGUUCGGAAUCACUGGGCUUAAAGCGCGUGUAGGCGGCCAUGCAAGUACUUUGUGAAAUCCCUCGGCUCAACCGGGGAAUUGCUUGGUAUACUGCAGGGCUUGAGGCGGGUAGGGGUGCUUGGAACUCUAGGUGGAGCGGUGAAAUGUGUAGAGAUCGGGAGAAACACCGGUGGCGAAGGCGGGUCUCUGGGCAAUUCCUGACGCUGAGGCGCGAAAGCGUGGGGAGCAAACAGG
rnacentral:rRNA from 1 species